GUGCAAUUGGUUUUGUCUUCACACGCUGAGUGAGAAUUGUUAUUUCGAGCUCUUUCCUCGUCUCCAUUCCUCACGUGAGCCAAGUUUGAGUGUUUUUGAGAUGAUGGAUUUCGACAAAAAUAUAAAGUUGUUUUUUCCACAGCUCGUUCAGUGGGAGAGUCAGUGUUAAUUCUUGAAAGAACGUAUAUAUUGGCGGAGCUCGGUACUAGCUCGGUAUGUUACAACCUGGCCCGGAAGAUUGCCCAGCGCAGCCGGGUCAGUGAUUUUGCUCAAGGGAGAUAAUUUCUGGAGAGGAUGUGCCAGAUGAGCCGACCGUCGAAACCAAAUUGUGAGUCCGUUCCGUGCCUGUUAUUUUGUGCCGUGUAUGAAGACGAGAUUUGUGAGCGGUGCAUGCCUAACCAGGUCAAACGAACGAUCCGCGCAGAGUGACCAAGGACGGUGCCGCAGACGCAGUGGUACACGUAGUCCGAGCCGUUGGACUCUGCCGGAGCCACCUCUACGAUCACCUAAGGAUUUACACUCACGUUUACACUCACUUUUGCACCUACAUAUUGGCAGACCGACGAUCGCCCACAGGUAAUAUAUGUUUUUUUUGGGAAUUGUUCCUCACACUCCUCGCUAGCUGCUACGGACACAUAUGUGCCCGACAGUAUUCGUAUUGUCCAUCGUGUUGUCCCUAUUAUAUGUGUUAAUUGUUAUUUAUUAGUAAUUUAAGCAAACCCUAACGUAAACAAACACUUUUGUAAACGCCAAACAUUGCCCGACAUAGACACAAAACAAAACAUAUGGUAGGAUUAACCCUUGUGCGCGGCGCGGGGUCCCACAAGCCCACCGUUUUGGUGAAAUAUUGUUUGGUCAUUUUUGUUGUCGAUGGCCUUGUUUUUAUCUGCCCCUAUGACCCUUACCAAGAGCUCUUGGUAGGUUAGUCUCGGGAGGGCCCAAAGAAAUUUAAAUCAUUUCCCAAUUUAAUUCUGCAUAAAAACUCCCAUUACGCACAUAGGUAUA